rnacentral:rRNA from 1 species
CAGAGUGACGACGGUGGCUUGCCAAAAGCCCUUUUUGUUCCAGUCAUAUGGAUCAUAGGUUGACCUCGAAUCAGGUAGGAAUACCCGCUGAACUUAA